rnacentral:lncRNA from 1 species
UUAUUUUAUGAAUAAACAUUUUAUCAAAAAAAAAAAUAAAUAAACAAUAAACAAAUAAAAUAAAUAAAAGAAUAUAAAAAAACUCGAGAGAUGUAUUCGGUAGUAGGACAAAUUCUCAUGAGAGGAUUGCAAAGCGUGUUGUUGAAAAUGAAAAUCCCACGCAACAUCCAGGAAGUGGUGAGGGUGGCACCGGAUGCAUCUCAAUGAGGGGAGAACGAGCGAAUGAGUCGCGUAAAACAAUCCUUUUUGCGUUUCGCAAAGACUUACCGUCUCUCUUUCAUCUGCGGUCAGGUGGGGUACCCGUUUAGCAAGGUAUUUCGUUGCAUACACAGGUGUUCUCUCAUGGUUCGUUGUAGACGAAGGUUAGAAAACAAAUACCGUUUCCUUUUAUAACGUUUACCGCCACUAUCUUCCGAACGAUGAGCCGUUUUAGAUUAUUUCUCAAGGAAACAUGUGUUUAUAUUAUGUCUUGAAAAGACGGCCGGAGGACGCGUGGCUGCGUCUGCAUCGUCUAUUUACCACCUAAAGAGUCACCUGUUUCAUCUAGGUAGAAGAAUUUCACUAUCAAAUCCGAGUUUACCGUUGGUAUAUGUUAUCUCGUCGCGUGCACGCCGCCAUAGAAUGAAAACGUAACCGUGAUAAAUCAUCUUUAUCGAGAUCAAGGUGGUGGAUCGAGAUCGAGGUUGGAAACAAGGAUACUAGGAUCCGUUAAGGCGUGAACAAAUACAUUUUCAUUCAUCAGUAACCAUUGCUCCCUUAAAAAAAAAAAAAAAAAAAAAACGACAUUAAAAAUUCUUUGCAAAGAUCCUUCAUUGAUCCGUUCAUUAGCGGUGGUCGUUAUUAAUUGUUCAGCGUGGAAGUAUUGAAUGGUUGCGGAGAACAAUGAAGGUGGUGCACGUUAUACGAAAAUAUCUUUUGUCGUAGUCGCGAUUGUACCCACUUCCGUGGGAAUUCGCGGAACGGAAGUGCAAUUUCUGGCAAUGGGUACACCACCAUCAUCUUGGCCAGCUUCAGCAUAGCGCGAGCAACGUGAAAAAAACGAUUCUUAAGAAAUGAUGCCAGGUGCACAACACGCUUCCUUCUCACGAGAACUCGAGAUUAAUUUUUAAGAAAUUUUUUAACAAGUGCUGGCGCUCGAAGAAUUAAAUGGAAUUAAGAAGUUAACGAUGUGUCAUCUUAUUCUCGUGCCUCGAAUUCAGGUCACGCAUAAGUCAUGCACCAUAUGUUUGAGAGCAUCUAAUCCGUCUAUAUGAAUCUCGUGUUGUAGUUAUUCCGUUUUAUUAGAGAAGAAGUAGGAAGAAGAGGAAAAUAUUUGAAAAGUCGGACGCAGAGUUAUAAGGUAAAGAAAUAUAUUAUUUUGUCUAUCUAUAAAAAAGUAUAAAGUCACUUUAAUAUACGUAUAAUUUAUAUUCACAUUAUAAUAUCAUUCGUUCACUAAUCACGUGUAUUGCACGCAAGUAUAAUAAUAAAUAUUAAAUAAUUAUGUAAAAUGGUAUAAAAUUAAGAUAAAUAAUACAAUAACAAAUAUCACGACAAUCGAUAUCCGAUUUUCGAGUUGUCAUUACGAGUCAAAAUUUUUUGUAAUUUAAAUAAAAAAAAAAAAAAAAAAA